rnacentral:rRNA from 1 species
AGUGACAAGAAAUAACAAUACAGGACUUUUUGGUUUUGUAAUUGGAAUGAGUUAAGUAUAAACCCCUUUACAAGUAUCAAUUGGAGGGCAAGUCUGGUGCCAGCAGCCGCGGUAAUUCCAGCUCCAAUAGCGUAUAUUAAAGUUGUUGCAGUUAAAAAGCUCGUAGUUGGAUUUCUGUUAAUAAUUUAUAUAAAAUAUUUUGAAUAUUUAUAUAGCAUUAACAUAAUUCAUAUUACUAUAUUUUUUAGUAUAUGAAAUUUUACUUUGAGAAAAUUAGAGUGCUUAAAGCAGG